rnacentral:rRNA from 1 species
GACGAACGCUGGCGGCGUGCUUAACACAUGCAAGUCGAACGCUGAAGCUCAGCUUUUGUUGGGUGGAUGAGUGGCGAACGGGUGAGUAACACGUGAGUAACCUGCCUCCUUCUUUGGGAUAACGCCCGGAAACGGGUGCUAAUACUGGAUAUUCACUGGUCUUCGCAUGGGGGUUGGUGGAAAGGGUUUUUCUGGUGGGGGAUGGGCUCGCGGCCUAUCGGCUUGUUGGUGGGGUGAUGGCCUACCAAGGCUUUGACGGGUAGCCGGCCUGAGAGGGUGACCGGUCACAUUGGGACUGAGAUACGGCCCAGACUCCUACGGGAGGCAGCAGUGGGGAAUAUUGCACAAUGGGCGCAAGCCUGAUGCAGCGACGCCGCGUGAGGGAUGGAGGCCUUCGGGUUGUGAACCUCUUUCGCUCAUGGUCAAGCCGCAACAAUGGUUGUGGUGAGGGUAGUGGGUAAAGAAGCGCCGGCUAACUACGUG